UGAUGGUAAUUGGUAGAAUGUUACAUUGGUGUUAUCUGGCAUAUGCAUGUUUGUAUUGGAUGCAUUCUGCAUAAAUAAAAAUAUCAUUAAUAUGGCAUUUCACAUAAUAAAAAAGAAAUGCAUAUUUUAAGAGGGCGUAAGUACAUAAUACUAAUUAUUAGCAUGUCUUGUAUAUAGCAAGUGCAUGCAAGAAUGCACAUUUCCCAAAAUGUUGGUCUUGAACUAUUCUGUUUUUUCUUUCCUUUGUCCAAGUUAAUCACCGAACACAUUUGGCUAUAUCUUGCUAAUUGAUUUAUGGAACAAAUAUCCUUGAAAGUAGAACUGAAAACUAUGGGAAGACCCACUGUAUAUCUAAAUCCCCUUGCCAAAGGAGAAAUUUCUUUUGCAACAUCUGCCGCUCAACUCUUCAAUUCAUAUUUCACUGUACAUCUAAAUUUCCUUGACAAAAGAUGGAAACUCUGUUUCAGAUGUGUUAAA
rnacentral:misc_RNA from 1 species